CCUACGGGAGGCAGCAGUGGGGAAUAUUGGACAAUGGGCGAAAGCCUGAUCCAGCCAUGCCGCGUGUGUGGAGAAGGCCUUCGGGUUGUAAAGCACUUUCAGUGGGGAAGAAAGCCUUGGGGCUAAUACCCUCGAGGAAGGACAUCACCCACAGAAGAAGCACCGGCUAACUCCGUGCCAGCAGCCGCGGUAAUACGGAGGGUGCGAGCGUUAAUCGGAAUUACUGGGCGUAAAGCGCGCGUAGGCGGUCUGAUAAGCCGGUUGUGAAAGCCCCGGGCUCAACCUGGGAACGGCAUCCGGAACUGUCAGGCUAGAGUGCAGGAGAGGAAGGUAGAAUUCCCGGUGUAGCGGUGAAAUGCGUAGAGAUCGGGAGGAAUACCAGUGGCGAAGGCGGCCUUCUGGACUGACACUGACGCUGAGGUGCGAAAGCGUGGGUAGCAAACAGGAUUAGAUACCCGAGUAGUC
rnacentral:rRNA from 1 species